AUCUGUACGGACCACAAGCCCUGUGAGAUCGACCCGGUGAAGCUGAAAGAGUCAGAAAACCUAGAGACCAACAGAGAGAACCUGCGUCAGUAUGUAGACCGGAUCUUCAACAUGAUCACGACGUCAGGCGUGCGUUGUCCCACCGUCAUGUGUGAUAUUUUCUUCUCACUCAGAGAAUCUGCUGCAACACGUUUCGAAGUCGACCAGGAUGUGAGGUACACAGCCGUCAGUAGUUUCAUCUUCCUGCG